rnacentral:lncRNA from 1 species
CCACUGCCCCCGCUUCCAACCGCUCCCGCCUGCAAAUGGGCCCGCGCCCUGGCGCACGUGCGCCCAGCUGGUGGCUGAUUGGCUCUCGCGGCAGGGCAGUGCGGACAGGGCCAGGGAGCGCGGAGCGCGGUCCUCGCGAGCCGUAUGCUGCCCUGGCCUGCGUGGACAUCGACCGGAAGCCCACCGCCCGCGCCCCAGGGGAGCCCACUCACCCUAUCUGCAGCGCGAGCUCGUGCGCCCACGGGGCUCCCCAGCCAGGGUCUCCGUCCCCUGUAAGGAGAGAGGGAGGUUGCAGCGGCCGGCAGGGCUACACAUGCAGCCCCAGAAGGACGGCUUCCGGGACAGUGUGACCCUUAGCUGUGUGGCCUGAAACUCCAGUAAGGCUGGGUGCCGCGUGUUCUUGUGCUGAAUCUGGCAACCCUACGAUGGCCAGAAACCAGAAACCAUGGCUGUUAGAGAACUGUCUACUGAGCAUCCUGGGUUUGAAGGCUGAGAUUUGGUAGCUGUCCUUCAGAGACUGGACGCCCUUGGAAACUGGGGGCCUCCCGCCUGCACCCUCACUCUCAGGUGUGUGGCUUGAGUGGUUGCUGAAACAGACACAGGAGUGUGUCCGAUAUUCCUGUAAAACCCGAUGCCUCCUGCCUCUCCAGUUGUGUUCCUUAAGUUACCUUGAGCUCCAAUUUGUAUUUCUUGCAAAUGGUUAGAUCUUUCCCCACUUUUGAGAUAUAUUUUCAGGCUGGUUAUAAUACUCAAAUUAUCUUGGUUGCCCAAAGGGUCAUGAGCAAGUAUAGCUGUAAGGAGCUACCCCCUGCACUGCUCCUGCCAAAGAACAAACAGGAUACUUGCAGGAACUUGUCAGAUUUCUGGGCUCCAUUAUCUGACCUUUAAGAUCAUGACCCACGCUGGGUGUGGUAAGGCACCUCUGCAAUCUCAGCCACUGGAGAGGUUGAGGCAGGAGGAUCAAAAGUUUGAGACCAGCCUCAGCAACUUAGCAAAGCCCUAAGCAACUUAGUGAGACCCUGUAUCAAAAAGUAAAAAGGGUUGGGGGUGUGACCCAGUGGUCAAGUGCCACUGGGUUCAGUCUCUGGAAAAACAACAAAAUGAGCUUCUAGCCAUGCACGACCUACGCACGCGCUCCCCGGGCAGCACCCAUACUGCCUGGGCGGUGCUCUUCCUGCUGAAUAUUUCAGCUGUCACCCCAAUGUGUCUGGGUACAUGGCUUCUCUGCUAUAUCUGUUUUUCUCCUGUGAGGAAUAAAAUAUUUGAUGGUCUACUUUCUUUUUAAAAAAAAUAUUUAUUUUUUUAGUUGUCAUUGGACACAAUACCUUUAUUCCAUUCAUUUAUUUUUAUGUGGUGCUGAGGAUCGAACCCAGGGCCCCGCGCAUGCUAGGUGAGCGCUCUACCACUGAGCCACAAUCCCAGCCACUUGAUGGUCUACUUUCAAAGCAAGAUAUUUAGUUUAAAAGAUGCACAAGGCUCAGCUUGUGAUGGAGGGUCACUGGAAGCCAGUUUGCACAACAGCUUACUAACGUGACAACUGCAGAGAGCGAAACCGCAGCGAGCUGUCCGCAUGUCCUUGCCUUGCACCAGCAGACUUCAGGAUGAGCC